CUCAUUUGUAAUAUUUUUGCAACUUUUAUGUUGGUCUGAAGUUCUUUGCAAACGAAUAGUUUAGCUAAUUAGGAUGGCGGGUCAAUGACCAUGAUGUCCCCGGAGACAUUUGUGGGUGGCUGGCCUGGCCCCGCCCUCCGUGGUGUGUUCUGGGUUUUAAUCGUCCGCCCCGCCCCAGUGCGUGCUCCCGCCCUUCGCUCCCGGUACCCGCUGGUCUGUCCCGUCUCAGUCAAGAAUUGUCAAACGUGUGCUGAGCGCCAGUGCGUGCCAGGCUCCGGCAGGGCCGGGGGAGAGCAAGCAGAAGUUGUCCCCGUCCUCAAGGAGCUACAGUCUAACAGGGAAGACAGAACCAACCAGAGAAUCGCAAAGGGCGGUGGCUGUCGUCUAAGGAGUCAUCAGGAGUCCGGGCCUUUCCCAUCUUAUGGCUCUGCCAUCUUCAGCACAUGGUUUCCAACACUGCUGUGCUUGUCUACAAGAGGAUGGCAAUGGGGGAAGAGGAUGAAAGAACACAGGUGA
rnacentral:lncRNA from 1 species